GACGGAGGAUGCAAGCGUUAUCCGGAAUCACUGGGCGUAAAGCGUCUGUAGGUGGUUUAAUAAGUCAACUGUUAAAUCUUGAAGCUCAACUUCAAAAUCGGAGUCGAAACUAUUAGACUAGAGUAUAGUAGGGGUAAAGGGAAUUUCCAGUGGAGCGGUGAAAUGCGUAGAGAUUGGAAAGAACACCGAUGGCGAAGGCACUUUACUGGGCUAGUACUGACACUCAGAGACGAAAGCUAGGGUAGCAAAUCGG
rnacentral:rRNA from 1 species